ACAGUUUUGGAUACGGCAUCUGAUGAACAAAAAACACAUUUAUUUAACUUUUCUUUCUUCUUUCCAAACAAAGCAAUGCUGCUGGACUGAAAAAAACCACAGAUGAGUGUCAACUAACGGUGAUGAGAGCGACUUACUCUCCAGCAUCAUCUCCUAGACCAGGAAGUCUGGAUAUCCAAGCGCUUAAGGACAGUCUAAUCCCUUCUUCUCAUGGGGUCAUCAAGCAGGUUAGUUUGCUUUGCCACUUCAGCAAAAGAAAUGGAGGGAACUUUUACGUACAAACUGACUGAAUAAGUUUCAGGUGUAUAAACUUCCUGACCAAAAAAAGGAAUCAUGUAACGCGUUUCAGAUACUUCUAAGAAAAGUAUCCAGAGCUCUUAGCGGUAUGGAGGAUGCAGAUUUGAUGCCUCUCUCAAGUUAUGGGAGCUGUGGUUUGAACACUCUGAAGGAAAUGAGUUCCCUGCUCACUGGGCUAGAAUAUAUUGAAAUAGACGUGCUCUCAGCCCAGCACUGUUUUGCUCCAGAAGCCUGUUAUCCUAAUUACCAGCAUCUUGAAGGCAAAACUGCAAGAGUCUGUCACUGCCAAUCCAUGCUCCAAAGAGAAGUAGCGGAGAGAACAAGGGGAGAAGGUAAGAAAAAAACGAUAUAA
rnacentral:lncRNA from 1 species